GCAGGGAUGGUGUAGCUGGCUAACAUCUCGGUCUCCAAAACCGAUGUUCGCUGGGUAAAAUCCUAGUCCCUGCG
rnacentral:tRNA from 1 species